rnacentral:rRNA from 1 species
UUACGGAGAGUUUGAUUCUGGCUCAGAACGAACGCUGGCGGCGUGUUUAAGACAUGCAAGUCGCACGGAAAACGGAACUAGCUUGCUAGUUUCGUUUUCAGUGGCGCACGGGUGAGUAACACGUGAAUAACAUGCCCUGCAGUGGGGAAUAGCCCAGGGAAACUUGGAUUAAUACCCCAUGGUAUCGCAAGAUUAAAGGUGGCCAGCAAUGGCUGUCGCUGCAGGAUUGGUUCGCGUCCUAUCAGCUUGUUGGCGGGGUAACGGCCCACCAAGGCUACGACGGGUCCCUGGUCUGAGAGGACGAUCAGGCACACUGGAACUGAGACACGGUCCAGACACCUACGGGUGGCAGCAGUCGAGAAUAAUUCACAAUGGGGGCAACCCUGAUGGUGCAACGCCGCGUGG